rnacentral:rRNA from 1 species
AGAGUUUGAUCCUGGCUCAGAACGUACGCUGGCGGCACGCCUAACACAUGCAAGUCGAACGAAGUAGCAAUACUUAGUGGCAGACGGGUGAGUAACAUGUGGGUAUCUGCCCUUUGGCCUGGAAUAACACGAGGAAACUUGUGCUAAUACUGGAUAAGUCUUUACGGAGAAAGCUUUAUGCACCAUUGGAUGAGCCCGCACUUGAUUAGUUUGUUGGUGGGGUAAUGGCCUACCAAGACUGUGAUCAAUAGCUGAUUUGAGAGGAUGAUCAGCCACAUUGGGACUGAGACACGGCCCAAACUCCUACGGGAGGCAGCAGUGGGGAAUCUUGCACAAUGGAGGAAACUCUGAUGCAGCGAUGCCGCGUGAGUGAAGAAGGCCCUUGGGUUGUAAAGCUCUUUCGUCGGGGAAGAAAAUGACUGUACCCGAAUAAGAAGGUCCGGCUAACUUCGUGCCAGCAGCCGCGGUAAUACGAAGGGACCUAGCGUAGUUCGGAAUUACUGGGCUUAAAGAGUUCGUAGGUGGUUGAAAAAGUUGGUGGUGAAAUCCCAGAGCUUAACUCUGGAACUGCCAUCAAAACUUUUCAGCUAGAGUUUGAUAGAGGAAAGCAGAAUUUCUAGUGUAGAGGUGAAAUUCGUAGAUAUUAGAAAGAAUACCAAUUGCGAAGGCAGCUUUCUGGAUCAUUACUGACACUGAGGAACGAAAGCAUGGGUAGCGAAGAGGAUUAGAUACCCUCGUAGUCCAUGCCGUAAACGAUGUGUGUUAGACGUUGGAAAUUUAUUUUCAGUGUCGCAGCGAAAGCGAUAAACACACCGCCUGGGGAGUACGACCGCAAGGUUAAAACUCAAAUGAAUUGACGGGGACCCGCACAAGUAGUGGAGCAUGUGGUUUAAUUCGAAGAUACGCGCAGAACCUUACCAACACUUGACAUGUUCGUCGCGACUUUAAGAGAUUAAAGUUUUCGGUUCGGCCGGACGAAACACAGGUGCUGCAUGGCUGUCGUCAGCUCGUGUCGUGAGAUGUUGGGUUAAGUCCCGCAACGAGCGCAACCCUCACUUUUAGUUGCCAUCAUUUAGUUGGGCACUCUGAAAGAACUGCCAGUGAUAAGCUGGAGGAAGGUGGGGAUGACGUCAAGUCCUCAUGGCCCUUACGUGUUGGGCUACACACGUGCUACAAUGGUAUCUACAACAGGAAGCGAAACAGCGAUGUUAAGCAAAUCCUUAAAAGAUACCUCAGUUCGGAUUGCACUCUGCAACUCGAGUGCAUGAAGCUGGAAUUACUAGUAAUCGUGGAUCAGCGUGCCACGGUGAAUGCGUUCCCGGGUCUUGUACACACCGCCCGUCACACCAUGGGAGUUGGUUCUACCUUAAGGCAAGGUUUAAUACCCUUGACCACGGUAUAGUCAGCGACUGGGGUGAAGUCGUAACAAGGUAGCCGUA